GCAUUCGUUUCGGCAGUACAUAUAUUAAAAUUGGAACGAUACAGAGAAGAUUAGCACGUCCCAUACGCAAGGAUGAGAAGCAAAAUUGUGAAGCUUUCACAUUUCUU